CAAAUUUCUCAAUACCAAAUUGAAAUUCAUCGUUGUUGAGGUUUUACUCGGGAUAUUCAGACGCGGUCUUCGUCUUUUCACUCGAUUAAUAUUUGAGUUUGAAAGCUACGAAUCGAGGUCCAAUUUUAUUCCCCUCUUUUAUUUAAUGUUUAUUAUAUUUGGUGUGUUGGAGUGAAUAUUGUGUUUGGUUGAUGAUUGUGACGUGGUGAUAUGUUUCGAUAUUGUGUUUGAGCAAUCGUGAUUACUGUGGUUGAUAUUGAUUGAUUGAUUCACGUGAAUGAAGGAAUUGAAAGAUUUGAAUUCAUGUGGGAAUUAGUGGUGCGAGAAUUGAAAACUUGAUAUAAUUAGUGAAUUUUGAUUAGUUUGAUUCAUGAGUUGUUUGACUUGAAAUAAACAUUAAUUGAAUUUGGUAGUAUCAAGAUACGCCGAUUGAAAUAGGCAAGACGUAGGUCGGGUAGGCAAAUCUAGAGAUUGUGGGUUGAUUGAAUGUUUGAAAUUUGAUUGAAUGGUUUGAUUUUAUCACUUUUGAAUCAAUUGUAUAAUUUGGCCGGGGAAUGCCCCGAAGUAUCUGUAUAUAUUUAUUCACUGGGGAAUGUCCCGAGGUAUCAUGUACUCGGAGGAAGUUUGUGAUGAAGGCCCGAGGCGUUGGGUAGAGCAUUAGUCUAGAAUUAAUUUAGAGUAGGAUUUAUUUUUACACAUUUUUUUAUUUUUAGACUGAACACUAAAUUUUGGAUUGUUUUAUCUUGUUUGCUUGAUUGAGAUACGUAGGCAACUUAUUAUUGGUUCGGGGAUAUUAUUUAAAAAAAUUCAAAAAGAUUUUCGUCACUCUUCAUCUAGAGUAGGUGUUUCAUACAUGUCUUGAAAAGAAAAAUACAAAAAAAAAUUCGGGAUCCAUCUUGUUUUGUCCCUUUGGCAUUUGUGUUCAAACCCUUCUAUCUUUUAUUUCAACUAAAUGAAGUGUCCCUUUCCCUUUAUGUUUUAAAUAUGUGUUGUUUGUUUGUUUUCUUUAUACAAUACACUUUAUGUUGAUUCUAGUGAUAUGACAUACCUACGGAGUCUUCAGCCAGAUCUUAAAAUCCAAUUUAAUCAUGAAACAUUGGAUCAGCGGGAUAAAGUUAGGAGAAACAUCUGAGAAAAUAGUAGAGUGCUGAGACAUUUGGUGACAAGUUGAAGCCUUCUUUGAAAAUUAAGGCACUUAUUUUGAGAUAACUUGGUCAUCAAUGGAAAGACAUGUCUCAAUUAGGUCAAAUAGUGGUUGCGUGAACAAAAAAAUAAUCAACCCCACAAAAUCAUGAGUCAUUCAAUGUGAGGAAUGUACAACAAAAGUGGAGUUGUACGCUAGAAAAGCACAGAAGAAGUAUGACGCAUAGACUCAGUCAAAGUUAAUGCUUAAAAAGAUGUCACAAAUGAUCUUCAUCUCUCACUUUCAUAUUAUAUGAUAUGUACUUUCAUUUUCAAGGAUUGAUAUGACGAAGGCAUUUCAUUCUGCUAUCCAAACAUCGUGUCAUCCUUUAUUUACCCCAUUUGAGAUUUAAUCCUAUUUUCUUUCAUACUCUUCUUUUGGAAUCAAGAUAGAGUCAGCAAAGCUCAAAAGAAAAGUAUCGAGCAAAACAAUAGAGUCAGAAAAAUUUUAAAAAAAAUAAAAGAGGAAAAAAAAAUGUCCAAAAAAAAAGAGAAGAGUGUCGAGAAAAAUAGAGUUAGAAAGUUUCAAAGAGAAAAAAAGUCAAUAAAAGAAAAAAAAUCAAAAUCAAGCAAAAGAACAAGCUGCCAGAACUACGCGUGACCUGAUUCUCCUCUCUCGGGGGUGAGAUACGUAGGCUGCCCUACUUUGGGCUCGGUCCAACCAAAUAAAUAAUUUAGAAUUGCCCAGUCAAAAGAAACUGGGGCAUGAGUCAAUCCUCAUUGUUUGAGUCGAUUCCAAAAGUUGUAAGUCCCACCCCACUUCAAGUGUCGUUUGGGCCCCAUGUCAUCCUUUCUUUCUAACCCUAUACAAAAGUCAAGUUACAACUAAAGAAAGACCUUCAGAUCAAUCUUUGAGAAUGUUAGGGCUAAGCAUGCAAUGGAUGUGAUGACGCAUUUUGGGAACUACUUGUCUUCCUUAACAUAAGAAAUCAGGAGAGAAGUAAAAAUGAGAGAGUCUUAUUGGUGAAAACCCUCACGGGCAUCGUGAGUUGAAUGGUGAGUUGAGAGAAAUAAAAAUGAGAGAGUCUUAUCGGUGAAAAUCCUCAUGGGCACUGUAAGGCGACAGUGAGUUGAGACAAAUGAAAAUCAGAGUCUUAUUAGUGAAAACCCCUUAUAGACAUCAUAAGGCAAUAAUGAGCUGAGGAAAAUUAAAUAAGAAAGACUUGUUGACGAAAACCUUUCAAGGUGCCACUAGCCGAAUGAGGUCUCUGAAUACAAUUGACCCAAGAAAGUAACUCAAUUUCAGGGUCAUUAGCUCAACAACAAUUGGUAGAAGGUUUGGAUGAAAUGAUCAGGCAGCUGAAUCCAAAUGCAUGGCAUAAUCAUUAGAGUUGAUUGUGAUUUUAGAUAAAUUUUUCAUUUCUUUGUUUCAAAUGGGGACUUUCAUUGUCUUUUCUUUCUUUUCUUUAUCGUUAUUUUUAUUUUCUUGAGUCAGUUAUCCAAAUAAAACAAAAGAUGUUGUCAUUUUUCUCUUGUUUUUGAGUCAAAUCCAUGUCAAAAUAAGUGAGAAAAGAUUUUAAAACUGGCUACCAACUUCUUCAAUUGCACAAAGCAAGACAAAAAGGCCAGCGCAUGAAAGAGACAUGAUUAUGAGCCAAAAAAAGGGCACGCAGAAAGUUUUGUCAACAGACAAGUCUGGCAACUCAUGAAAAUACCAAGGUUUAAAGGGUUUAUUCAUGAAGCAUGACAAAGCAAAGAUGCUGUAUUUAUUUCAGAGUCACUCAUCAUAAUUCGAGUUUGGGUUAAUGACACGACAAAGUAGGGGCAAGUGCCAACAAUCUGAAAUAAAAUGAAGGGAAUGAACACUGGAGCAGGCGUCGGGACAGCCAAGUGCCGCAAGCCACCACUAAGUUUUUAAUUGACAAAUUUUUUUGUUGAAACAGGGGUAAAUUCUCUUCACUUAAUUCAGCUACCAUUGGAAAUGUACAUUCGUGGGAUUUUACUUUCUGUUCAGGACCCUCCUGAAAAAUGGGAUUUUAAUUUCUGUUCAGGACCCUCCUGAAAAAUGGAAUUUUACUUUCUGUUCAGGACCCUCCUGAAAAAUGAGAUUUAACCUUAUGUUUAGGACCCUCCUGAAAAUAGGAUUCUACUUUAUGCUCAGGACCCUCUUGGAAAAUGGGACUUUACUUUCUGUUCAGGACCCUCCUAAAAAAUGAGAUUUUACUUUCUAUUCAGGACCCUCCUGAAAAAUGGGGCUUUACUUUCUGUUUAGGACCCUCCUGAAAAAUGCGACUUUACUUUCUGUUCAGGACCCUCCUGAAAAAUGAGAUUUUACUUUAUGUUCAGGACCCUCCUGAAAAAUGGUAUGUUACUUUCUGUUCAGGACCCUCCUGAAAAAUCAGAUUUUAUUUUCUGUUCAGGACCCUCCUGAAAAAUGAGAUUUCACUUUAUGUUUAGGACCCUCCUGAAAAAUGGGAUUUUACUUUCUGUUCAGGACCCUCCUAAAAAAAUGGGAUUUUACUUUAUGUUCAGGACCCUCCUGAAAAAUGGGAAUUUACUUUCAAUUCAGGACCCUCCUGAAAAAAUGGGGCUGUUUACUUUCUUCAGGACCCUCAUGAAAAAUGGGACAACGCUUUCAAAAAUGAAAUAAUACUUUACUAUAAUUUUUGUUUGGGAUAAUUUUCGUUCUAGUUUUAAUUUUGGGUUUCAGGAGCCCGCCUGAAGAACAGAGUAAUGAAAUAGCAAGUCAGGAGCCCGCCUUGAGAACAGAGUAAAGAAAUGAAAAGUCAAGCAACAAAGUGAUGAAAUAGCAAGUCAGGAGCCCGCCUGGAGAAUAGGGUGAAGAAAUGAAAAGUCAAGCAACAAAGCGAAGCAAUUGAAAGCCAAGCAACAAGUUGAAAGAAAUUGCAAGUCAGGAGCCUGCCUGAAGAAUAGGGUGAUAAAAGUUGAGUCNNNNNNNNNNNNNNNUCUUCCAACCCUUUGAGAUACUUGUGACUUCCUCAUGACUUGGGUAGAUAGGGUGUCCGACAGGAUUCGAUUGUCCUUCUUUUUUUUACUCCUCUCUUUGAAUAAUGAUCGGGACAAAAUUCGAUCUCGUUGUUUACUUCUUUGUCUGAAAACACUGCGUGUUUACAUUUAAAGGGGGCAUGAUGUAGACAUGUAAUUUCGUCCCUCCCCGAUAUCGUUUUACCCAUUUUUAUCUUAUCCUACCCAUGUUAUUACAUCCCAUAAAAAUACAAAAAAUAACUCUCAACAAAAUUCCUAACAAACUUUUAUUCUUUUUAACAUCCUAACAACCCUUUCAAUUAAAAGAAGACACAUUACCCAUACCCCUACCCUAAUACCCCAUACCCACGUGAGCCCCUCCCCCUCAUAUUUCUUGUCCACAAAGGCAAAAAGGGAUAAAAAAUAGAAAGGGACCCCACUAGGAACCUUCCAGGAAAGCCCACAAGGAACCCAUUUUGUUUUAAGGGGAUGAAAUACAAUAUAUUCACACUCUCACAAAUAAAAAGGGCCCACACGAUAUAAUUUCCACAGACUCCACUCACAAUUGACACUGAUCUUCUCCAAAGAACGCAUAGACACUUCCAAACUCUCUUUGAUUUUUUACUCAAUUCACUGGUAAAUAAAAAAGAAAAUAAGGACUCCAUUUCUGUUUCUUGUUUUCUUCUUCAGGGAUACGCACACAGCAACACUCGAAUUUCCCAUAGGAGGACUGAUUUCCUUCCAUUAGCAUAGACCCUCAAAGUCAUCUUCUUCACAUAUAUACCCAGACCACCGAAAAAGAAAAAAAAUAGACUAAAAACUGAAGAGGGUUGAUUGGAAUAGGGGAUUGGUGCGAGGUUCGAUCCUUCUCCAAGCCUUUUCUGGUGAAAACUUUCACCAGAAUUGAUUUUAGUUCAUUGUUCGGUUGACCAGUUCAAGAAGAAUCCAAAUUUCUUCAUUUUUCUUUGAUUUCUAAGGGAAUCUGGCUGGAAACAUUAAGUUUUGGCCAAAAAAUGUGAACCAGCAGCGAAUUCUUCACUGAAAUUGGUCCAGUUUUGACUUAGUUUUGCGAUUAGCUUUUGUGCAUGGGUUGGGUUUAUUCUGUUGCUUUUUGUUUCGUUCUUCGACCUUCGUAUUGAUUUUGGGGUUUAAAUUCUGUUCGUCCCGAUCAGUUCGUAGCUAUCAGUCUUUGGCUUUCAAAUUUCUCAAUACCAAAUUGGAAUUCAUCGUUGUUGAGGUUCUGCUCGGGAUAUUCAGACGCGGUCUUCGUCUUUUCACUCGAUUAAUAUUUGAGUUUGAAAGCUAUGAAUCGAGGUCCAAUUCUAUUCCCCUCUUUUAUUUAAUGUUUAUUAUAUUUGGUGUGUUGGAGUGAAUAUUGUGUUUGGUUGAUGAUUGUGACGUGGUGAUAUGUUUCGAUAUUGUGUUUGAGCAAUCGUGAUUACUGUGGUUGAUAUUGAUUGAUUGAUUCACGUGAAUGAAGGAAUUGAAAGAUUUGAAUUCAUGUGGGAAUUAGUGGUGCGAGAAUUGAAA
rnacentral:lncRNA from 1 species